rnacentral:rRNA from 1 species
GACGAACGCUGGCGGCGUGCCUAACACAUGCAAGUCGAACGAAGUGGCGGACGGGUGAGUAACGCGUGAUCAACCGGCUCAUCAGGGGGGCACAACAGUUGAAAACGUCUGCUAAUACCGCAUACGGAAGAUGGUGAUGGUGGUGGAUUGGCUGGUUGGGGGGGCAACGGCCCACCAAGGCGAGGAUCAGUAGCCGGUCUGAGAGGAUGACCGGCCACACUGGGACUGAGACACGGCCCAGACUCCUACGGGAGGCAGCAGUGGGGAAUAUUCCGCAAUGGACGAAAGCCUGAUCCAGCCAUGCCGCGUGUGUGAAGAAGGUCUUCGGAUUGUAAAGCACUUUAAGUUGGGAGCGUUACCUGCAGAAUAAGCACCGGCUAACUACGUGCCAGCAGCCGCGGUAAUUC